UGACGCGUAUACGUGACCCCUGACCUUUGUGGCAGCUCGGGGGAAUGUAUUACUGCGCAGACUCAAACACUUGGCGCACGGCAUGGCUCUGGUCUGCAGGUCUAGUAUGAAAGUAGGCAGCUGGAAGGAUGUACAGAGAUAACUGACAAUGGAGCUGCUGGAACAGACAACAUGGGAACCCCUUGCAGCAGUUUCACCUGGGAACUCUUCCUCCAAGGCACCGAUCUCUGCCUCGCAGAAAUCCACCAUGAAGUGAGAUGGCUGCCAGUCGGGAUUCCACUCCCUGAACACUUGCAGAGCCUCUCUGAUGUCUUCACUCUUCUCGGUCUGUGGGACAAACACACCUACUACCGAGUAGCACACAUUGUUGGUGUGUAGCGGCGCCGUGUUGGUGGAGGAGGAUGCCGACCUUUGAACAACACGUCAGUGACAAAUGCAACAAGAUGCCGCCUCAUCUCGCUGAUCUUCUUGACACCUAGCCGGGUGACAUCCAUAAAGUUUUGUCCCCACCAUUUGGAACGGUGACCCGUCAUACUCGACGCCUUUCAGUUUGAACCAAGUCUUCUUCUUGGUUGAAGGUUCCACAUCUGUAUUGGAAACGUUGACAAAGACCAGAUGUCAAUAGCACUAUGGAUUCUUGUCUGAAAGAUCAGCAUUAGUCGGGAUUCCUCAACUGUCUUGAUCAUGUGGAAAGCUCAUCUCAUCUCAUCACGUCUCAUCUCAUCUCAUCUCAUCUCAUCUACCCCUAGUCUGACUAAUAGACUGUCAUGGCCAGGUCUCCACAGAAGAUCUGACAGCAAGUUAUGGAAGCUCAUCUGUGUUUGUAGGAGACUUUUAGUACAAAGCUUAACUUUCUUCCAACACAAAAGUACACACGGGUCAAAUUCCCAACAACCAAUGUCUCCUUCUUUAGGAUCAAUACUGAUGAUCAAUCACUUAUUCUCAAGUUCUCUCAACCUUCGUUGUCUGCUCUAUUUAGAGUCAUGGCAGUCAUGCCAUCAAUUUUCUGACAUUGAUACUUCUUCCGUAUUUCGAUUUUCCACCCUAAGUAAUAAAGAAACCAAACUUCUGAAAUUAAAUGGUAACUUGGGAAGACAGCUGUGCAACUUGGCUCGAUUAGGCUAUGUUGGUUUGAGUAUACUGAUGACAGUCCCUGGUAACACCAAAAUCAAUCAAACCUGUAUUAGCAGGUCACUUUUGUCGGUCCCUUGGAUUUAUCCCAUUGACCAAAGUAAAUAAUCUGUAGCGGCCACCUGUACAUACACAAACACUACCCAUUGCGACCAUACAGCGGCCGUAUGUGACCCUGCCCCGAGUUUAAAAUCGUAGUUUGCAAGGAUUUAGAGUUCCGCAUAGGGUCAUUUUAGCGGUACCAGAAGGUACGGGUUCCUUGAACGUUUGGAGUGCAUGUCUCUGUCGGGGAAUGUACUAACAUUGCGCAUGGAAAUAUCAAUCAUUUUCCGGUAGAUUUAACUUUGGCAGUUGCAUUUCAGGACGAUGCAGAUAAAGUUUGUUGAUGAGAAAGAUUACUGAAAUCACGUGUAACUUAUCAGCACAUCAAUUGAUCAACAUUUUCUCUGUAGUGGCCACCUGUCUAUAGUGGCCAAUUUCUCCAGUCCCUUGAGUGGCCGUUAUAGACAGGUUUGACUGUACUUGCUUACAUCUUACCUACAAUAGGUAUAAGAAUAAAACGUAGAACAGUUAUUUUCCUAUGUGUAUUGUGUAUGAUUAUUAUCCACUGCUUUCUGCUGCAGUAGUUUCAGGCAGUUUGCAGCUGUAUUCAGCUUUGGUAUUGUGUAUGUACCGGCAGUAAAGUACAGAUAAAUUUGUGCAUUUUCUACAUUGUAAAGUAUACAGGUAACUGUCGUCUAAUAUAUUGUAUCAUGGAAUCACGGAAGACACUGUGAAAUCUGUGAGUAUUGAUUGUUAAACUAAGGAUGAAAGCACCAUGUCUUAUGUGGUUAAGUGUGACACCACUCUUCAUUGAUAAAGUCAAGUUAAUUUUUUUGAUGGCCUGUGAUAACUGGGCAUCAUUUUUUUUUUCUAAAUAUGAUAGUGUAUAACUGAAUUGUAAUUUUGACCAAUGUUUUUAACUGAGUAUUUUCUUGUCGACCAGGUCUGUGUCACAGGUUUAACGAUAUAACAUUGUACAAUGUAUUGCUACUGUUACCCUUAACAGAUGACAAGAUGACACCUCUUGCAAGAGGUGGAGAUUUUUUGUUAACGAAAUAUAAGCUGUAUAUGAAAGCAACACUGUAUUAAAGAAGCAACUUUUUAUUGAAGAAGCAACAUUUUAUUGAAGAAGCAAGGUGUUAAGCAACACUUUAUUAAAGAAGCAACACUUUAUUAGAGAAGCAAGGUGCUUCAAAUUAACGCUUCAAAGCAACUUCCGUAUCUCAAAUGAUGGGACUUUAUGCAGCCCCUUAUUUAGUCAUCAUGUUAAUGAAUAAAACUGUUACUUCGACACACAUUAUACACGUAGUUUCGAAUUCAAACAGUAACUUAAGUGAACUUGGGAAUAUCAGAACGAUGCAAUAACCCAAUUAAGUUUUGAUCUGUUAGAAGCAUUGCAACGCCACAGGGCCUACUGUGUUGUUUUCAACGUACUGAACGCAUAAUAAAAUUCAGAUUUCGCGCGAA